UACAGAGGGUGCGAGCGUUAAUCGGAAUUACUGGGCGUAAAGCGUGCGUAGACGGUUAUUUAAGUCGGGUGUGAAAGCCCCGGGCUCAACCUGGGAAUUGCAUUCGAGACUGAAUAGCUAGGGUACGGUAGAGGGAAGCGGAAUUUCCGGUGUAGCGGUGAAAUGCGUAGAUAUCGGAAGGAACAUCAGUGGCGAAAGCGGCUUCCUGGACCAGUACCGACGUUCAGGCACGAAAGCUAGGGGAGCAAACGGG
rnacentral:rRNA from 1 species